GUCGGAGUCCCGUCCCUUGGUGUUCUGUCCCCUCUGAGUUCCAUCCCCCUGUGACGCUCUUUUCCUGCUUAUCCUCGUCAGUACUGACGCACUUGUCAGAUGCCGGCACUGAAGUUCCUGUUGCCUGAACAGGAGGAGGAAAGAGGAGGAAGAUGAGAAAGAAGGAGCAGGAGGAGGAAGAGAAGGAGGAAGAGGAGCAGGAGGAGGAAGAAGAAGCAGGAGGAGGAGCGGGAGCACUGGUGGAGGCCAUUUCCCCCUGGUCAGCUGAUAGAGUCCAUGACAGACGCAUGAAAUUGCAUCCUGGAAACAACUCACGUGCCCCUCGAUGGAGGAACGGAUACACAAGAAGACACGGAGCCGCGCUCAGCCUUCAAGGGGAAGGGAU
rnacentral:lncRNA from 1 species